AGACAAACAAGGAUUUCUUCCUAAGUUAUUAUAAUCUCUUCAAAUUUCAAGAUACUAUUUCAAUUAUCUUCAUCUCCGCAGUUGAAUGAAUUUCAAACAAAUCAUAAAGGAGUUGCAGGGAGCUAUAAUGAUUUCUUCAGCUUUCCAAACAAUUCUUGGAUACAGUGGGUUGGUGCCAGUAUAACUUUGGUUAAAUGGGAUGGAAUAGGACAUGAGCUUGCUCUCUCAUCAGUAUUUGUAGUGUUGUCUGUUUAUCAGCGUACAAGAUUUAUGAAUACAUACUUUUCUGUGGAAGAGAUAUCAAGAAGCAGCACAGGGUGGACUGAAGAGAUGGAUUGGGCUAUAGUACAUGCCACAAGUAAAGCAAUGCAAGCUGAAGUAUAUAGAAUGAACCUAUCAGGUGCAAUGUAUUUUAUUUGGCAAG